GUGCUCGCUUUAGCAGCACAUAUACUAUAAAUUGGAACACUACAGAGAAGAUUUGCAUGGCCCCUGCGCAAGGAUAACACACAAAUUUGUGAAGGGUUCCAUAAAAAU